UACGUAGGGGGCUAGCGUUGUCCGGAAUCAUUGGGCGUAAAGCGCGCGUAGGCGGCCCGGUAAGUCCGCUGUGAAAGUCAAAGGCUCAACCUUUGAAUGUCAGCGGAUACUGCCGGGCUAGAGUCCGGAAGAGGCGAGUGGAACUCCUGGUGUAGCGGUGGAAUGCGCAAAUAUCAGGAGGAACACCAACGGCGAAGGCAGCUCGCUGGGACGGUACUGACGCUGAGGCGCGAAAGCGUGGGGAGCGAACAGG
rnacentral:rRNA from 1 species